rnacentral:rRNA from 1 species
GUCCACGCCGUAAACGAUAAUCACUAGACGUUAGUUCAGCUUAGCUGGAUUAGUGUCGUAGCUAACGCGUUAAGUGAUUCGCCUGGGGAGUACGAUCGCAAGAUUAAACUCAAAGGAAUUGACGGGGGUCCGCACAAGCGGUGGAACAUGUGGUUUAAUUCGACACUACGCGAGGAACCUUACCUGGACUUGACAUGCUUUUGACCGUCAUAGAAAUAUGGCUUUUUAGGCUUCGGUCUAGACAACUGCACAGGUGCUGCAUGGCUGUCGU